UGGGGAAUAUUGGACAAUGGGCGCAAGCCUGAUCCAGCAAUACCGCGUGUGUGAAGAAGGCCUGAGGGUUGUAAAGCACUUUCAGCGGGGAGGAAGGGUAAUAUGUUAAUAGUAUAUUAUUUUGACGUUACCCGCAGAAGAAGCACCGGCUAACUCUGUGCCAGCAGCCGCGGUAAUACAGAGGGUGCAAGCGUUAAUCGGAAUUACUGGGCGUAAAGAGUGCGUAGGCGGAUAUUUAAGUCAUAUGUGAAAGCCCCGGGCUUAACCUGGGAAUUGCAUCUGAUACUGGGUAUCUAGAGUAUGGUAGAGGAUAGUGGAAUUUCUGGUGUAGCGGUGAAAUGCGUAGAUAUCAGAAGGAACACCAGUGGCGAAGGCGACUGUCUGGGCCAAUACUGACGCU
rnacentral:rRNA from 1 species